rnacentral:rRNA from 1 species
GGAUUAGAUACCCUGGUAGUCCACGCCGUAAACGAUGAGAACUAGCCGUUGGGGGGGUUAAACUCCUUAGUGGCGCAGCUAACGCAUUAAGUUCUCCGCCUGGGGAGUACGGCCGCAAGGUUAAAACUCAAAGGAAUUGACGGGGGCCCGCACAAGCGGUGGAGCAUGUGGUUUAAUUCGAUGCAACGCGAAGAACCUUACCUGCCCUUGACAUCCUCGGAACUGGUCAGAGAUGGCCGGGUGCCUUCGGGAGCCGAGUGACAGGUGCUGCAUGGCUGUCGUCAGCUCGUGCCG